AUAUCAUUUUAUACUCUUCUGAUUUUAGGAAGCUAAGCAGGAGCAGGCCUGGCUUGUCCUGGGAUGGGAGAUGACCCAGGAAGACCAGGGAUCUC
rnacentral:rRNA from 1 species